rnacentral:rRNA from 1 species
ACUCGGUCCUCCUACGGGAGGCAGCAGUGGGGAAUAUUGCACAAUGGGCGCAAGCCUGAUGCAGCCAUGCCGCGUGUGUGAAGAAGGCCUUCGGGUUGUAAAGCACUUUCAGUCGUGAGGAAGGUAGUGUAGUUAAUAGCUGCAUUAUUUGACGUUAGCGACAGAAGAAGCACCGGCUAACUCCGUGCCAGCAGCCGCGGUAAUACGGAGGGUGCGAGCGUUAAUCGGAAUUACUGGGCGUAAAGCGCAUGCAGGUGGUUUGUUAAGUCAGAUGUGAAAGCCCGGGGCUCAACCUCGGAAUUGCAUUUGAAACUGGCAAACUAGAGUACUGUAGAGGGGGGUAGAAUUUCAGGUGUAGCGGUGAAAUGCGUAGAGAUCUGAAGGAAUACCGGUGGCGAAGGCGGCCCCCUGGACAGAUACUGACACUCAGAUGCGAAAGCGUGGGGAGCAAACAGGAUUAGAUACCCUGGUAG